ensembl:lncRNA
GCCACAGGGAGUCAGUUAGCAGGUCGGAGCCACAGGGAGACAGUUAGCAGGUUGGAUCCACAGGGAGCCAGUUAGCAGGUUGGAUCCACAGGGAGUCAGUUAGCAGGUCGGAGCCACAGGGAGACAGUUAGCAGGUUGGAUCCACAGGGAGCCAGUUAGCAGGUCAGAACCACAGGGAGUCAGUAAGCAGGUCAGAGCCACAGGGAGUCAGUUAGCAGGUUGGAGCCACAGGGAGACAAUUAGCAGGUUGGAGACACAGGGAGAGGGUUAGCAGGUUGGAUCCACAGGGAGACAGUUAGCAGGUCAGAACCACAGGGAGUCAGUUAGCAGGUCAGAGCCACAGGGAGUCAGUUAGCAGGUUGGAGCCACAGGGAGACAGUUAGC